GACGAACGCUGGCGGCGUGCUUAACACAUGCAAGUCGAACGGAAAGGCCCUGCUUUCGUGGUGUGCUCGAGUGGCGAACGGGUGAGUAACACGUGAGUAACCUGCCCUUGACUUUGGGAUAACUUCAGGAAACUGGGUCUAAUACCGGAUAGGAGCUCCUGCUGCAUGGUGGGGGUUGGAAAGUUUCGGCGGUUGGGGAUGGACUCGCGGCUUAUCAGCUUGUUGGUGGGGUAGUGGCUUACCAAGGCUGUGACGGGUAGCCGGCCUGAGAGGGUGACCGGCCACAUUGGGACUGAGAUACGGCCCAGACUCCUACGGGAGGCAGCAGUGGGGAAUAUUGCACAAUGGGCGGAAGCCUGAUGCAGCAACGCCGCGUGCGGGAUGACGGCCUUCGGGUUGUAAACCGCUUUCGCCUGUGACGAAGCGUGAGUGACGGUAAUGGGUAAAGAAGCACCGGCUAACUACGUG
rnacentral:rRNA from 1 species